CGGAGCGUGGCGCAGUUUGGUAGCGCGCCAGUUUUGGGAACUGGAAGUCGCAGGUUCGAAUCCUGUCGCUCCGACCA
rnacentral:tRNA from 5 species